AGCAAUAAAAAAUGUCUGGUCAAUGCAUGAAAAAGUUAACUUUCAGGCCCAGUAAAAAGAAAAUGAAUGGUUAGUUACAUCUAGCAAGUGCGAUAACCAGCAACAACACAAUCUUUUGGUAUUUUAUGUCAUUAACAAGUGCUGGUCAAAUAUGCAAAGCAAACACAAUCAUAUAGUAAAAAGGUAUAUGGUAUGUUAAUCAUAUAAUAUGCAUCAAUUAAAGGAAUACUUCUUUGUUGAUUUUGAAAAUGUGCAUGAAUAAAAUCAUUUACUUCCACCAAGAAUUCAAGUAUGUGUCCUUUUAUGUCUGAGCAAUCGAUUCUGUCCAGAUCUCACUCUUAACAACCUAGGAACUAUUGCAAUAUACCAGUUCUAACAUUGUGCAUAUUCCCAAGUUUUCAGAAUAAUGCUAAAAGGUAUUGAAACAGAGUAGUUCAUUAUCAAGAGCAAUGAGUAUAAUAUGAUAGUCAAAGCUUCCCAGUUACACAGUUUAUAAUUUCAAUAAACACAAAUUUAAGU
rnacentral:misc_RNA from 1 species